GGACGGUUCCGCCGUAUGGACGGCGAUCGGUCUCGAAAACCGAGGGGGCGUGAGGAGCGCUCGGCGUUCGAUUCGUCAACCGUCCGCCA
rnacentral:tRNA from 1 species